CUCAUGGGAAGGGAAUGACAUGGACCCAGCAGCACUUGAUCUCCAGCAUGGAACAAUGGGGAACAUGCACACCAAUGGUUAAAGUGUCUGCAAGAGGUGCCUGUAAGAGAUGCCCCAUGUCCCUGGGCUUGUCAUGCAGGGUUUCUGUGUGUGGUUCUGGCUGUCCUGGAACUCGAUAGUAGACCAAGGGGGCCACAGACUCAGAGACUUGCCUGCCUAUGCCUCCCAAGUGCUGGGAUUAAAGGCGGUUGCCACCACACACUGCUGCUUUUAAAAAACUAAACAGUUGGCGACCAACAAGGUAAGAAUUGUAUACUAGGGAGGAAUGAGAAGCUACUUAAGCGUGUCUUGAAAAAACCACACAGUAAUGAAACUUGAUGGUGCUUCAGGCCACUUGGGAGGAAAUGAGGCCAGCCUGCUCCUCACCGAGGCAAGUCAGAGCUACAGAGUGAGACUCUUGACUCAAAAUAAACAGACCCCCACUUCCCACCCCGGCACAGAGGAUACUUGCAGUUUUGGAAGGCUGAAACAGGAGGUUGAGUCCUUGGCAAUAUGACUUGAUAAAGAAAAACAAAACUUCUCUUUUAUGUAAUUGAAAUCCAAAACCCUUUUACUGCACCAUGUCCCCAUCCCAGGUCUUGCUCUACAAUCAUAGGUUCCUUUCCCCAAACGCAGGCAUUUCAAAGCCACAUCAAAUAGGCAAGGCAAGGUGUAGUGCUGAGAACCUUUAACCUUAGUUCAAGAGGUAGAGGCAGGCAGAUCUCUGAAUGUGGGACCAGCUUGGUCUCCAAGU